UACGUAGGGUGCAAGCGUUGUCCGGAAUUAUUGGGCGUAAAGAGCUCGUAGGCGGUCUGUCGCGUCUGCUGUGAAAACUCGGGGCUUAACCCCGGGCCUGCAGUGGGUACGGGCAGACUAGAGUGCGGUAGGGGAGACUGGAAUUCCUGGUGUAGCGGUGAAAUGCGCAGAUAUCUGGAGGAACACCGGUGGCGAAGGCGGCAUCCUGGACCGACACUGACACUGAGGAGCGAAAGCCAGGGGAGCAAACGGG
rnacentral:rRNA from 1 species